GACGAACGCUGGCGGCGUGCUUAACACAUGCAAGUCGAACGGAAAGGCCCUGCUUUUGUGGGGUGCUCGAGUGGCGAACGGGUGAGUAACACGUGAGUAACCUGUCCUUGACUUUGGGAUAACUUCAGGAAACUGGGGCUAAUACCGGAUAGGAGCUCCUGCUGCAUGGUGGGGGUUGGAAAGUUUCGGCGGUUGGGGAUGGACUCGCGGCUUAUCAGCUUGUUGGUGGGGUAGUGGCUUACCAAGGCUUUGACGGGUAGCCGGCCUGAGAGGGUGACCGGCCACAUGGGGACUGAGAUACGGCCCAGACGCCUACGGGAGGCAGCAGUGGGGAAUAUUGCACAAUGGGCGGAAGCCUGAUGCAGCAACGCCGCGUGCGGGAUGACGGCCUUCGGGUUGUAAACCGCUUUCGCCUGUGACGAAGCGUGAGUGACGGUAAUGGGUAAAGAAGCACCGGCUAACUACGUG
rnacentral:rRNA from 1 species